rnacentral:lncRNA from 1 species
CACUUCUGACAGCUUCCUACACCAAAAGAGGCUGGCCACCAUUUUGCUGUGUCUCCAAGAAAAAAUAAAUUACUUUGAAAAGCAUCCAAACAGUCUGUGCCUUCCUCUUUCCGAGAACUGAAAAGGUAUCUGAGGCAGAUGCUGGGAUCACGUACUAUGAAGAUUCAAGGGGAUGUUUGGUUUCAGUGAUUUGAAUUUAAUGAGAUACCAGGCAGCUCACAGACAGGACGAAGCUGAUUUGUAUGCACGGACGUGGGAGAAGUAUCGGGGACAAAUGGAGUGACAGAAGCGAGCUGCAGCACAGCACGUCUAAUAGGAUGCAGUGUGUGCGCAAGCGUGUGGCCGAGGACAGGCCGGGGAAGGUUGUCAGCGGCGCUCUGGAGAGGACAAUGACAUUGGGUGGGGAAGCCUUUGGGAUUUUUAAAAAUCUACUCCAUAUUUCUUAAAA